rnacentral:misc_RNA from 1 species
GAUGAAGAACGUAGCGAAAUGCGAUAAGUAGUGUGAAUUGCAGAAUUCAGUGAAUCAUCGAAUCUUUGAACGCACAUUGCGCCCCUUGGUAUUCCAUGGGGCAUGCCUGUUCGAGCGUCAUUUGUACCUUCAAGCUUUGCUUCGUGUUGGGUGUUUGUCUCGCCUUUGCGUGUAGACUCGCCUUAAAAUAAUUGGCAGCCGGCGUAUUGAUUUCGGAGCGCAGUACAUCUCGCGCUUUGCACUCAUAACGACAGCGUCCAAAAGUACAUUUUACACUCUUGACCUCGGAUCAGGUAGGGAUACCCGCUGAACUUAAGCAUAUCAAUAAGCGGAGGA